AAAAUUAAUCCCUGAUUAAUUCGAAAUUAGUUGGGAAGUUUCCUGAUGUGAUUAGGAGAAAAAGGAAGCAUGUGAUGCAUCCUUUCAUGCGCCAUAAGAAGGGCUAUAAUCAGAUUAGAGUGGAUCCCUUGAAUCAAGGAUUGGAUGACACAUGUCAUUUUCUCCUUGCAUGGCGCCAUGGAUUGAUUUGAUCCUAAUUUAGUUAGGAU
rnacentral:lncRNA from 1 species